UAAUACGAAGGGGGCUAGCGUUGUUCGGAAUUACUGGGCGUAAAGCGCACGUAGGCGGACUAUUAAGUCAGGGGUGAAAUCCCGGGGCUCAACCCCGGAACUGCCUUUGAUACUGGUAGUCUCGAGUCCGGAAGAGGUGAGUGGAAUUCCGAGUGUAGAGGUGAAAUUCGUAGAUAUUCGGAGGAACACCAGUGGCGAAGGCGGCUCACUGGUCCGGUACUGACGCUGAGGUGCGAAAGCGUGGGGAGCAAACAGG
rnacentral:rRNA from 1 species